rnacentral:rRNA from 1 species
UUGGCAUUCCGAAGGGCCACACCCGUUUGAGUAUCAUGAACACCUCAACUCUCAUGGUCUGCCAUGAUGAGCUUGGACUUUGGGGGUCUUGCUGGCGUAACCGCCGGCUCCUCUCAAAUGAAUCAGCCUGCCAGUGUUUGGUGGCGUCACAGGUGUGAUAACUAUCUACGCUUGUGGUCUUCCAUCAGGUUACCUUCAGUAAUGGAGGUUCGCUGGAGCUCACAGACGUCUCUCCUCUGGGAGGACAGCUUUUUAAAAGUUUGAUCUCAAAUCAGGUAGGACUACCCGCUGAACUUAAGCAUAUCAAUAAGCGGAGG